UUUCCGUAGGUGAACCUGCGGAAGGAUCAUUGACGAGGGAGAAUAUGAGUGUGCACUGCCCAGGUUUUCUUGGGCUGAGAAAACAUUAUUACUACACGCAAAAUACAACUUUUAACAAUGGAUCUCUUGGCUCUU
rnacentral:misc_RNA from 1 species